AUGGGAGAUUUCUGGGAGGAGUCUCUCCAUCAAUCUUGAGAGAGAAUUCAACACCCGGGGGGAGGGAGGAAAAGGCUACAUAAUUCAAUUUCCUCUCCCCCCCAUAGAAACUCUUUAUCAGUUUGUCCAUGCUGCACAGCCAUUAGCUUCAGCAACAAAUCCUACGGGGCCUCUGGCGAGCGCAUGGCGAACCGGCAAGUCACAGAUCGGCGAUGGUGAACUCCGAAACCGUAGUCGGAGUCAC
rnacentral:sRNA from 1 species